UCUCCCUACGGGGCGCAGCAGUGGGGAAUAUUGCACAAUAGGGGAAACCCUGAUGCAGCGACGCCGCGUGAGUGAGGAAGUAUUUCGGUAUGUAAAGCUCUAUCAGCAGGGAAGAAAAUGACGGUACCUGACUAAGAAGCCCCGGCUAACUACGUGCCAGCAGCCGCGGUAAUACGUAGGGGGCAAGCGUUAUCCGGAUUUACUGGGUGUCAAGGGAGCGUAGACGGAAUUGCAAGUCUGAUGUGAAAAUCCGGGGCCCAACCCCGGAAGUGCAUUGGAAACUACCGAACUAGAGUGUCGGAGAG
rnacentral:rRNA from 1 species